AGAUCCGCCUCCAUCGCAGCCAGAAGCAAGAAGCUGUCUUCCCGCCCCCGCGUGCCUACAAUCAGCCCCAGUCUCCCUGGGAAACCGACGAGCGCACCUGAGCUGGGUUCUGAGCUCCAGCGUUUUGGGGCUAGAAGUUGCGGACUAGUAGCUGAGGCGGCACGGGAGUGUAGGCGCGCGGGGUCGUUGCCGGGGGCACAGAGUGAGAACAAGCAAGGGAGCCCUGCUGAAUUGCAGCUUAGGAAGCCCUGAAUCCUGGAGAUAUGUUCCUGACCCUUCCUUCUUGAAGGGACAGCUGUGUAACCAUUCAACCAUCUGGCCAUCAGUUUCCACAUCUGUGAAAUCAACUUCUGCCUCAUGGAGCCGUGAGUUCCCAAGCAGUGAAGGCAGUGAGGGGCUGUGGUGUGAUCCAGGAGGCUGAGAAUUAUGCAGUGGGUGCUGUCACCUUGAAGACAUCAGCGUGAUCAGGCAGAUCAUCAUGGUACUGCAUUUCCUGGACACGAUCUUAAUUUUCUUAAUACCUCCACCGACAUUUCAAAUAGCGUCUCUAAUGCCCCAGAGACUUUUAUGCCCCUAAGGUAGUUUUCUUUCUUUUGUGAAGCAGAAGAAGGGAAAUUGUUAAAGGGAAUAUUUUAACUAAAUUUAUUUCCAUAAAACUAUCUUUGUCUUUAUAUCUCAUGGAAAGUGUUAGGUAGCCUCAGGAUUAUAUCUCCGUUGGAAAACUGUAGAUGUAAACCUUCUUGCUAUCUACAUACUUACAUAUUUUUCUGUUGUUAUUUACUUAUGAAUAGCAUUUUGAUUAUAGCAGAAAUAAAAUACAUUAAAUGACUAAGCUCAGAAAUAAGAAAAAAAGGUCAAUGGUGAUCAUUUAUUUGGAAACUAUGAUAUUUUAAUGAUAUUAAUGGUGUAAUUGACAUUUAGUUAAACAUAUUUCAUCGUAAGUAGAGCACUUUAACUCUUACGGUCCACUUAAAAUGUAAUCAUACGUUUAUGUAUUUCUAGUUAAUGUAUCAAACUCAACUGAGUAAUCAAUGUACAUCAUUUAUUUUGCUCCUAAGUUAAUACACUAAGUUAUGCUUUAAAAUUACUAAUUUGCUGCAAUAUCCAAUACUCUCUUUUAAGUCUUACGUCUGCAGAAAAGGAUAUAAACAUUUCAUGACACCAAACCCAAGUAUUUUUGAUGCCCUUGGCAGUGUCAGUUGAACAGACAGUGUCAUUUAAUGUUUGAGACAGCAUCUGAAUUCCUUUUAUUCUUAAAAUUCUAUUUUAAAAUGCAGUUUUUGGAAAGUUAAUGUGAAUAGAAAAAUUUCUAACAUUUUAUGUGCAUGUGUUUUGUUUGUUACAGGCUUAGCAUCUCAAAUCUGAAAAUUCGAAAUCUGAAAUGUUUCUAAAAUUCAACUCUUUUGAGUGCUGAUAUGACUUUCAAAGGAAAAGCUCAUUGGAGCAUUUCAGAUUUUGGAUUUUUGGAUUUGGGAUGUUUAACCAGGGUAAAAUAUAGAAUGCAAAUAUUCCAAAAUCUGAAUAAAAUUGAAAUCUGAAAUGCUUAUGGUUCCAAGCAUUUUGGAUAAGGGAUAAUUAAGCUGUAUAACUUAUAAAACUGAAUAUAACAAAAUUUCCCAACAUGUGGAAAAUGAUGUCUUUUUUCAAAAAUGUCAAUAGCAGAUACAUGGUACAGUAAGUUAGGGGAAAAAAUGAGGUUUCAUAUCUUCUAGUUUCCUAAUUAAAAGGAGCCCAUUCUGGGUUGGAAGAAAGUGUCAGUAAGAUCAUUUCUCCUAUUUGAAAAUCAUACAAAGCUUGUCAGAGUGACUCAGGCCAGGAGUGUAGCUGGGCGUGUAGCUAAAUGAUAUCUCCCCACAUCUAUAUAAUAAGCUGUUACCUGCUUUAAAAGGAAAAGCUCUCAGCAUGACUCUAAUGUUGCAUUUCUGGAAUACAGCUUGAAAAGCUCUUCUCAGGGUUGAACAGAGCAUGAAGGUAAUGGUUAUUAUCUACUCACAUUAAAAAAAAAAAAAAAGAAAGAAACCACCACAGAAAACUACUUACUGUCUUUAGGCUCUACUUUCAAAAGUGCCCUUUAUGAACGCUUUUACACUGUUGAUGGGAGUGUAAAUUAGUUCAACCAUUGUGGAAGACAGUGUGGUGAUUCCUCAAGGAUCUAGAAUCAGAAAUACCAUUUGACCCAGCAAUCCCAUUACUGGGUAUAUACCCAAAGGAUUAUAAAUCAUUCUAUUAUAAAGACACAUGCACACGUAUGUUUAUUGCAGCACUGUUCACAAUAGCAAAGACUUGGAACCAACCCAAAUGCCCAUCAAUGAUAGACUGGAUAAAGAAAUUGUGGCACAUACACACCAUGGAAUACUAUGCAGCCAUAAUAAAAGAUGAGUUCAUGUCCUUUGCAAGGACAUGGACAAAGCUGGAAACCAUCAUUCUCAGCAAACAAGAACAGAAAAUCAAACACUGCAUGUUCUCAGUCUAAGUGGGAGCUGAACAAUGAGAAAACAUGGACACAGAGAGGGGAACAUCACACACUGGGCCUGUUGGGGGGUAGGGGGCUAGGGGAGGGAUAGCAUUAGGAGAAAUACCUAAUGUAAAUGACAGGUUAAUGGGUGCAGCAAACCACCAUGGCAUGUGUAUACCUAUGUAACAAACCUGCAUGUUCUGCACAUGUAUCCCAGAACUUAAAGUAUAAAUAAAUAAAUGAAUAAAUAAAUA
ensembl:lncRNA ARHGEF26-AS1 ARHGEF26 antisense RNA 1